GGAGGGGUUCCCGAGUGGUCCAAGGGAGCAGACUGUAAAUCUGCCGGCGGACGCCUUCGAAGGUUCGAAUCCUUCCCCCUCCACCA
rnacentral:tRNA from 1 species